ACAUGUCUCAAUGGUUAAGCACCCCUAGGUUCAAUCCCCGGUACCAAAAAAAAAAAAAAAAAGUCAAUCAAAAAGUGAUGUGUGAAUCAAAAAGUCCACCAAGCCAUGCCUUGGUAUAGGGGGAAGAGCAAUAGGAUCAAGACCAAGAGCAGGGUUUAAAUUCUAACCCUAACAUUUGUUAGCUGUGAAAAUUUGGGACGGCCUAUCUCUUGAGUCUAUUUCCUCAUCUGAUAAAAAGAGAUGAUAUGGUCUGACCCGUUUCCUCAACUUGUGUACACACACACACACACACACACACAUACACCACACACGGACGCCUCCUAUUGUUGGUCUUCUGUGCUGUGACACUGUAUUUAUCUGCUGCCUGUUUCAAGUCACUAGGCUGGGAAUUCCUGAAGGCAGUUACCAGGCCUCCAGUCUCUGGCUAGCCCCUUGCACUAUACCUUCUCACAUAUACUUCAGUCAAUGUAAAUUGAGUAAGUCAGUGAAGUCAAAGGAGCACGUGCACAUGACAGGACCACUCAUAAGGUACAUAGGAGGGUCACAUGAACUAUAAGAAGGACUUUAAUGUGAUCCCCCAAUCUGACAACAGACCAGAUACAACCUCCUGCAGUGAGAGUGGAAACAGAUAUAUAAGGACUUCUGAAGGCUCGGGACUGCCAGAGGCUGGCCAGGACCUGCUAAGUACUGUACUGCCUUGGAACUUUUACCUGAACUUGUCUGGGGGAAACCUUAGAGACCACAAGAUUACAGACUUAUGUCCUCUUUAACCAACAGGAAGACUGACUGCGAGAGUGAAUUCAGUUUGUCCUUCCAAAGCUCUUCGAGGAUAAAAAUGGCUCUCUUUUUUGUAUCCUGCACUAAAAGUGCCCAUCUCAAAGUAGGUGCUCUUUCAAAAUUGCUUGAAUUCCCAGUGGAGGGAAACAGACAACCAUGGUGCUCUCGUAGCGGUCGGUACUGGCAGAAGGUAAGUGACUGCAGGAUUAAAGGAAAGAGCCUAAUUUUGUGCAGGAGAGUUAGGGGAAAGUGAAGAAAAGGAUAGUGGGCUAGAUUCACAGCUCUCCUAGCUGGAAAGGAAGAUGUAGGGGAGGGAGAGGAUGCUUGAGGACUGGAGGGCAUUGGCAUCGGGUUAGUUAAGAGAAGGGGAAUGAACACUGAAAUCAGAGAAAACUGGGGGAGAGAGUUCUCCAAACAUGCGCCACUCCAAUUAUACUUAGAACAACUGAUUUCUAGAGGGAAGUUAGUGUUGUCAGGUCCCUGGGUACAACCUGCAGUGACAAAUGGCCCAUUGUCUGGAAAUACUGAUUGGGCCUGUCUUCUGGGGUCACGCCAGGUGGCGCCUCGCUCACCUGUCAGGCUUGCUCUUCCUGGCCCCGGAUGUGGAUAAAACAAUGGGCUCUAAACACAUCCAUACUCAGAGGCAGUAGCUGGCAUCUCAGAUAGGGCAAACAGGGAAAUGAUCCUCUUUCAUGACCCCCUUUCUCUUCAGAGAUCCAGAAACCCUGCUCUCAGGUUCAGCUUCCUGUUUCUUUGUCAUAUGACCCUGCACAAGCUCCUGAAACCACCCCAACACACAUCAGUCUUCAUAUUGACAAAAUGGGAACCAUUUGAGUCUUCAUUGUGUAACUCAGAGGGUUUGUGGGAGAACCAGGGUGAUCAGGAGUGUGAAAGUAUUUAGAGAAUUGAGCCUCGACCUCUAGAGUCCCUGGGAUUACAGGAGUAUGCCACCAUGCCCAGCUUAGUCCUGUGAUUCUACUUACCAUCUACAUGCCCCUGAGUUUCAACUGUCCUCACCUCUGAACUCCAUCCACUGCCUUCUUGGCUUCUGAUCAGAUAUCUAAAAGGAAUAACAAACUUAUAUCAUGAAGUAGAGUCAUUUUUUUUCUAAUCUGAGAUUAGUAGAGCUACCAAUGUGAUCCUGAGCAAGUCCAUUCACUUCACUGGACCUUGACUUUGGGGUAUAGAUGAUGGUGGUAUUUCUCAGGCUUCCUUCAAGGGGUCAUAGUGAGAAUCUGAAGCAGCUAACCUUGUGAAGGUAUCUGGGUGGUGCAAAGUGCUCAGUAAUUUUAGUUUCCUUUAGUUAUUAUUAUCUUGCAGUGCUGGAGAUCAGACCCAGGGCCUCAUGCAUGCUAAGCAAGUGUUCUACCAUUGAGCUACAUCCCCAGCAGAGUAAUUUUAAGGCAUCACUAUUUACACUCCCCUCAUUAGAGGCCAAAUGUUCCAUUUUGAAUGUUCUUGACAGGUGCAUGGAGAACCUGGCACCCCACAGCUAGUUGAAUGUUUGAGAAAUGAUAGAUAGAAAGCAGUAGAAAGAUAACAGCAAGAAUUGACUUGUACAUUGAAUAUAAACAAGUGUGUGCCCCAUGUCCUAGAGCCAGAAGACAGCCCUAUGAGAAGUGGAUGUGUAUCAGUCCUUCACAUUGCAGAGAAGAAACUAAGUCUCAGGGUAGUGAAGGAAACCACCCAGAUUUAAUGAGCUCACAUGGCACAGGAGGGAUUGAAUCUACCUGGAUUCUUCAACCUCAA